rnacentral:rRNA from 1 species
CAGUCGCCGCGGUAAUACGGAGGGUGCAAGCGUUAAUCGGAAUUACUGGGCGUAAAGCGCACGCAGGCGGUCUGACAAGUCAGAUGUGAAAUCCCCGGGCUUAACCUGGGAACUGCAUUUGAAACUGUCAGGCUGGAGUCUUGUAGAGGGGGGUGGAAUUCCAGGUGUAGCGGUGAAAUGCGUAGAGAUCUGGAGGAAUACCGGUGGCGAAGGCGGCUCACUGGUCCAUUACUGACGCUGAGGUGCGAAAGCGUGGGGAGCAAACAGGAUUAGAUACCCCGGUAGUCCCUGUCUCUUAUAC